AUGCACGUAUAAGUUCAGCUCACGAAUAGCGAAACCGCGAAUGGCUCAGUAAAUCAGUCAUGAUUUAUGUGACAGUAAGAUUGCUACUUGGAUAACUGUGGUAACUCUAGAGCUAAUACAUGCCCGAUAGCUUCCGUUGACCUGUAAUGGGUUGCGAUGCGUGCUUUUAUUAGUUUUCAAGUCCAUCAAGCGUCUUGUCGUUAGUUCGGCAUCUCUGCUAGGCAUGAUGAUCUCUACUUAACUGCAGGACCUGGAGUUAACGCUUCAGGCGUGUCAUUCAAGUGUCUGCCCUAUCAAGUCAGUUGGUAGUGUAACGGACUACCAAGCUAACGACGGGUAACGGGGAAUCAGGGUUCGAUUCCGGAGAGGGAGCCUGAGAAACGGCUACCACAUCUAAGGAAGGCAGCAGCCGCGCAAAUUACCCGAAUCUUGGAGCGAGGAGGUAGUGACGAAAUAUAACAAUACGGGGCCUACGGGUCUCGUCAUUGGAUUGAGCAUGACGUAAACACUUAUGCGAUAUCUAGUAGAGGGCAAGUCUGGUGCCAGCAGCCGCGGUAAUUCCAGCUCUACAAGCGUAUACUAGUAUUGCUGCGGUUAAAAAGCUCGUAGUUUGACAUGUAACAGCAGUAGUGACAGUGGACCCGGUGUAAUACUGCCUCCCUGUAGUGCGGCUGUUCCCCCUCUAGUGGCGCUACUUGCACUUCAUUGUGUGAGUUUCAGAUCUGGAGUUAUGGUAUCCUGAAUAAAUUAGAGUGUUCAAAGCAGAUGUCAUGAAUACUGAAGCACGGAAUAGUAUUUGGGGCUGCGCCCUCAAAAACUGGUCUUCAUGGUGUGCGGAAAUUGGUUAAAAGGGACAGACGGGGGCAUUCGUAUUGUCACGUUAGAGGUGAAAUUCUUGGAUCGUGACAAGACGCUCGAUUGCGAAAGCAUUUGCCAAGAAUGUUUUCAUUAAUCAAGAACGAAAGUUAGAGUAUCGAAGAGGAUUAGAUACCCUCGUAGUUCUAACCAUAAACUGUGCCAACUUGCUUUCAGUCGAUGUUGCUUUUGACACGACUGGCGGCAACGGGAAACCUAAGUGUUUGGGUUCCGGGGGAAGUAUGGUUGCAAAACUGAAACUUAAAGGAAUUGACGGAAGGGCACCACCAGGAGUGGAGCCUGCGGCUUAAUUUGACUCAACACGGGAAAACUCACAAGGUCCAGACAUAGUAAGGAUUGACAGACUGUAGUUCUUUCUUGAUCCUAUGGUUGGUGGUGCAUGGCCGUUCUUAGUUGGUGGAGUGAUUUGUCAGGUUAAUUCUGAUAACGAACGAGACCUCAACCUGCUAACUAGCCUAACAAACUUCGGUUAUGAUAUGCUUCUUAGAGGGACGAGGUUUUUUCAAGGAUCAUGAAGAGAGGUCAUAACAGGUCUGUGAUGCCCUUAGACGUCCUGGGCUGCACGCGCGCUACAAUGAGUGCAGCAGCAUGUUUUUACCUGGUCCGAAGCGGUCCAGGCAAUCACCGAAUUGCACUCGUGAUUGGGAUAGAUUCUCGUACAUUUGAGUCUUGAACGAGGAAUUCCUAGUAAGCGCAUGUCAUUAGCAUGCGUUGAUUACGUCCCUGCCCUUUGUACACACCGCCCGUCGCUACUACCGAUUGGAUGCCAAAGCGAACAACACUGACUCCGAAGUUGGGGCGCGCAAGCGCCUGCUAUGGACAAAGAACCGUCAGCUUUGAUAUCUA
rnacentral:rRNA from 1 species